GGAUCAUUACUGAGUUGUAAAAAACUCCCAAACCCAUGUGAACCUACUGUUUUGUUGCCUCGGCGGGCUGGCCCCCCGGCGGACCUACCCGGUAGCUUCGGGCGGACCUACCCUGCAAUGCGGGAGCGGUCCUACCCGGUAGCCUCACCGGCCGGUCCUACCCGGGAGUGCCGCCCAAGGCCCGCCGGCGGCCCACCAAACUCUGUUUUUACUUGGUACUCUGAGUGAUUACGCAAAUAAUCAAAACUUUCAACAACGGAUCUCUUGGUUCUGGCAUCGAUGAAGAACGCAGCGAAAUGCGAUAAGUAAUGUGAAUUGCAGAAUUCAGUGAAUCAUCGAAUCUUUGAACGCACAUUGCGCCCAUUAGUAUUCUAGUGGGCAUGCCUGUUCGAGCGUCAUUUCAACCCUUACGCCCUGUUGCGUAGCGUUGGGAGCCUACCCUCACAGAGGCGUAGCUCCUUAAAGAUAGUGGCAGAGCGGAAUCCGUCUCUAAGCGUAGUAAAAUACCAUUUCUCGCUUCUGUAGGUGGUUCCGUCUCCCGCCGUAAAACCCUAUUUUCCAAUGGUUGACCUCGGAUCAGGUAGGAAUACCCGCUGAACUUAAGCAUAUCAAUAAGCGGAGGAAAAGAAACCAACAGGGAUUGCCCUAGUAACGGCGAGUGAAGCGGCAACAGCUCAAAUUUGAAAUCUGGCUCUCGGGCCCGAGUUGUAAUUUGUAGAGGAUGCUUUUGGCGCGGUGCCUUCCGAGUUCCCUGGAACGGGACGCCUUAGAGGGUGAGAGCCCCGUACGGUUGGACACCAAGCCUCUGUAAAGCUCCUUCGACGAGUCGAGUAGUUUGGGAAUGCUGCUCUAAAUGGGAGGUAAAUUUCUUCUAAAGCUAAAUACCGGCCAGAGACCGAUAGCGCACAAGUAGAGUGAUCGAAAGAUGAAAAGCACUUUGAAAAGAGGGUUAAAUAGCACGUGAAAUUGUUGAAAGGGAAGCGUUUGCGACCAGACCUUCUGCAGGCGGAUCAUGUGGUGUUUUCACCGCUGCACUUCGCCUGCUGUAGGCCAGCAUCGGUUUCCGCUGGGGGAUAAAAACUGGGGGAAAGUAGCUCUCUUCGGGGAGUGUUAUAGCCCCUUGUAUAAUGCCCCGGCGGGGACCGAGGACCGCGCU
rnacentral:rRNA from 1 species